ACUCAUACAUUUUCAUUAUGGACCUUUUUUCACAGCAGACAUUUUGGCUUGUCAUAGUAGGAAAAGCACAACUGAAAUUCAUAACCUUAACGAUGGUUCAGUUCCAUCAAGUGUCCCGGUGAGCUGUUUCAGUGAGUCAGCAUGCACAAUACCAGGGCCUCUCUAAAGUGGAAUGCAGCCAUCAUAAAUGGUUUUGAAUACACCUGUGCAUUUCCUACUAUGACAGGUAGGAAACACGUCUGCCAGGAAAAAG